ensembl:lncRNA novel transcript
CAUCCUGCCUCUGUGGAUGGGGAAGGCAGUCUCUCUACUGUCAUCUUUAAUCUUAGCACAGUUCUCGCAGUCCUCGUGUGGGCGCUGGCACGCAGCAUCCUUCCGGCACACAAACAGGCCAUCCUCACUGUUCAGGAGCUGGGUCUGCAGGAAGCUGAAGCAGGAGUCCUCCAGGUUGUGCAUGCGCAGGAACUCAGCACAGCGGAUGACCUCGCGGAUGUUUUCUCUGCUGAGUAACAGCUUGGCAGUGUAGGCAAACUGUAACAGCGGCCCAAAGCCCCUGGCUGUGACCUGCAAAACAAACAGGGAAAUCGCCAACAUUACCAUCAGCACUGCUAUUGUCCCGAAUCCCUCAACUGAAGCAAGAUAACCAGACAGUGCUAAUGUCCCAGAAUAAAGACUGCAAAGGGGCAGUUAA